rnacentral:rRNA from 1 species
CAUGCAAGUCGAACGAGCGAGAGAGAGCUUGCUCUCUCGAGCGAGUGGCGAACGGGUGAGUAACGCGUGAGGAACCUGCCUCAAAGAGGGGGACAACAGUUGGAAACGACUGCUAAUACCGCGUAAGCCCACGACCCGGCAUCGGGUAGAGGGAAAAGGAGCAAUCCGCUUUGAGAUGGCCUCGCGUCCGAUUAGCUAGUUGGUGAGGUAACGGCCCACCAAGGCGACGAUCGGUAGCCGGACUGAGAGGUUGAACGGCCACAUUGGGACUGAGACACGGCCCAGACUCCUACGGGAGGCAGCAGUGGGGAAUAUUGCACAAUGGGGGAAACCCUGAUGCAGCGACGCCGCGUGGAGGAAGAAGGUCUUCGGAUUGUAAACUCCUGUUGUUGAGGAAGAUAAUGACGGUACUCAACAAGGAAGUGACGGCUAACUACGUGCCAGCAGCCGCGGUAAAACGUAGGUCACAAGCGUUGUCCGGAAUUACUGGGUGUAAAGGGAGCGCAGGCGGGAAGACAAGUUGGAAGUGAAAUCCAUGGGCUCAACCCAUGAACUGCUUUCAAAACUGUUUUUCUUGAGUAGUGCAGAGGUAGGCGGAAUUCCCGGUGUAGCGGUGGAAUGCGUAGAUAUCGGGAGGAACACCAGUGGCGAA